CUUGUCCUACGGGACGCAGCAGUGGGGAAUAUUGCACAAUGGGGGAAACCCUGAUGCAGCAACGCCGCGUGAAGGAAGACGGUUUUCGGACUGUAAACUUCUGUUCUUAGUGAAGAAAAAUGACGGUAGCUAAGGAGCAAGCCACGGCUAACUACGUGCCAGCAGCCGCGGUAAUACGUAGGUGGCAAGCGUUGUCCGGAAUUACUGGGUGUAAAGGGAGCGCAGGCGGGAAGCCAAGUCCGCUGUGAAAACUACGGGCUUAACUUGUAGACUGCCGUUGCAACUGGUUUUCUUGAGUGAAGUAG
rnacentral:rRNA from 1 species